rnacentral:tRNA from 1 species
GCCACCGUAGCACAGUUGGCAGUGCAGCCGAUUCGUAAUCGGCAGGUCAUGAGUUCAAAUCUCAUCGGUGGCUCAA